CCAGUGAUGGAUAGAAGGUGGCUUUGACUGCAAUAAUGAGACAGUUAGUCUUUCACCGUUCCUUCUGUGAUGUGAUGAUAUGAAGAGGAAAUAAGGAACGGAAAUUCUGGCACUGAAAGGUAAUUCCUAUGGACAUUCUAGAAGAGAAGGAUAGAAUAUGAGGAUCUGGUUCGAGACCAUCUUAAGA
rnacentral:lncRNA from 14 species